rnacentral:ribozyme from 1 species
GUCCGUCGUGGAACGUCACCUUCUCGUGGUGAGGGACGUCAGUAAGCUGGGUGGCAUGGCGUAGCUGAAGCUGAGAACUUU